rnacentral:rRNA from 1 species
UACGGAGGGUGCAAGCGUUAUCCGGAUUCACUGGGUUUAAAGGGUGCGUAGGAGGGCAGGUAAGUCAGUGGUGAAAUCCCCGAGCUUAACUUGGGAACUGCCGUUGAUACUAUCUGUCUUGAAUACCGUGGAGGUGAGCGGAAUAUGUCAUGUAGCGGUGAAAUGCUUAGAUAUGACAUAGAACACCAAUUGCGAAGGCAGCUCGCUACACGAAUAUUGACUCUGAGGCACGAAAGCGUGGGGACCAAACAGG